rnacentral:tRNA from 1 species
UCCCGGAUAGCUCAGUUCGUAGAGCAGCGCCCUGUUAAGGCGCGGGUCGCUGGUUCGAGUCCAGCUCCGGGAGC